CUCCGGUUGAUCCCGCCGGACCUGACUGCUAUCGGAUUGGUACUAAGCCAUGCGAGUCGUUGUAGCAAUACAAGGCGGACGGCUCAGUAACACGUAGUCAACCUAACCUAUGGACGUGGAUAACCUCGGGAAACUGAGAAUAAACCGCGAUAGAUCAUUAUGCCUGGAAUGGCUUAUGGUUCAAACAAUUUAUUGCCGUAGGAUGGGACUGCGGCCUAUCAGCUUGUUGGUGAGGUAAUGGCCCACCAAGGCUAUAACAGGUACGGGCUCUGAGAGGAGAAGCCCGGAGAUGGGUACUGAGACACGGACCCAGGCCCUAUGGGGCGCAGCAGGCGAGAAACCUUAGCAAUGUGCGAAAGCACGACUGGGUCAGUCCGAGUGAUUCCUGAUAAAGGAGUCUUUUAUCUGUCCUAAAAGCACAGGUGAAUAAGGGGUGGGCAAGUCUGGUGUCAGCCGCCGCGGUAAUACCAGCACCUCGAGUGGUCAGGAGGUUUAUUGGGCCUAAAGCAUCCGUAGCCGGCUACGCAAGUCUCCGGUUAAAUCCAGCUGCUCAACAGAUGGGCUGCCGGAGAUACUACAUAGCUAGGGAGCGGGAGAGGUAGACGGUAUUCUGUGGGUAGGGGUAAAAUCCACUGAUCCAUAGAGGACCACCAGUGGCGAAGGCGGUCUACCAGAACGCGUUCGACGGUGAGGGAUGAAAGCUGGGGGAGCAAACCGGAUUAGAUACCCGGGUAGUCCCAGCUGUAAACGAUGCAAACUCGGUGAUGCAUUGGCUUAUGGCCAAUGCAGUGCCGCAGGGAAGCCGUUAAGUUUGCCGCCUGGGAAGUACGGACGCAAGUCUGAAACUUAAAGAAUUGGCGGGGGAGCA
rnacentral:rRNA from 1 species